rnacentral:rRNA from 1 species
GACGAACGCUGGCGGCGUGCUUAACACAUACAAGUCGAACGAUGAAGCUAGAGCUUGCUCUGGUGAAUUAGUGGCGAACGGGUGAAUAACACGUGAGUAACCUGCCCCGAACUCUGGGAUAACUGCUGGAAACGGUAGCUAAUACUGGAUACGACCUACGAAGGCAUCUUCUGUAGGUGGAAAGAAUUUCGGUUCGGGAUGGACUCGCGGCCUAUCAGCUUGUUGGUGAGGUAAUGGCUCACCAAGGCGACGACGGGUAGCCGGCCUGAGAGGGUGACCGGCCACACUGGGACUGAGACACGGCCCAGACUCCUACGGGAGGCAGCAGUGGGGAAUAUUGCACAAUGGGCGCAAGCCUGAUCCAGCAACGCCGCGUGAGGGAUGACGGCCUUCGGGUUGUAAACCUCUUUUAGUAGGGAAGAAGCGAAAGUGACGGUACCUGCAGAAAAAGCACCGGCUAACUACGUGCCAGCCGCCGCCGUAA